rnacentral:rRNA from 1 species
GAUGAACGCUGGCGGCGUGCCUAAUACAUGCCAGUCGAGCGAACAGACGAGGAGCUUGCUCCUCUGACGUUAGCGGCGGACGGGUGAGUAACACGUGGAUAACCUACCUAUAAGACUGGGAUAACUUCGGGAAACCGGAGCUAAUACCGGAUAAUAUAUUGAACCGCAUGGUUCAAUAGUGAAAGACGGUUUUGCUGUCACUUAUAGAUGGAUCCGCGCCGCAUUAGCUAGUUGGUAAGGUAACGGCUUACCAAGGCAACGAUGCGUAGCCGACCUGAGAGGGUGAUCGGCCACACUGGAACUGAGACACGGUCCAGACUCCUACGGGAGGCAGCAGUAGGGAAUCUUCCGCAAUGGGCGAAAGCCUGACGGAGCAACGCUGCGUGAGUGAUGAAGGUCUUCGGAUCGUAAAACUCUGUUAUUAGGGAAGAACAAAUGUGUAAGUAACUAUGCACGUCUUGACGGUACCUAAUCAGAAAGCCACGGCUAACUACGUG